rnacentral:lncRNA from 1 species
CUUUUUAGCAUUUAUUCAGUCUUAUUUUGUGAGUGACUUCUCUUUUUGUUUUAAUUAUGCUUUCUUUGGACUGUUUGGCUAUUCAAAAGAGAAUACCGGAAAAUAUUACAUAAUUCUGUUAGCUAAAUUUCACAUUCAUAGACAAAAGUUUGCUGGCUCUAAACCUCUCUUUUCUUAAGAUAAGUAUGUGGGAACUAUCCAAAGUUUUGUUAAUUUGAAAGCUGAAAACAUUAUCUUUAUAUUCGUCCUUUGUGUCUUCCUAUAUCUAAUUCUGUUACCUUGUUUUUGUUGUUGUUACCCCUUAACAAAUCUGUAUAUUCUUUUUUUUUUUGGUCUUUAUUUAUGAUUUUAAUUGUACUGCCUUAAUGUUUUUAUUGUUUAUUGCAAUGUUUGUCCUGUUUAAUAAAUAAAAAAGGGGGAUUUGGUUAAAUGAUUCAGAAGAUUCAUUAAUGCGAUUCGACUCAAACGAACGAUUCGCUUACGAAUCGGACAUUGCCAAGAGCGAGCGAGAGAGAGAGAGCAAGAGCAAGAGCAAGAGGAGGGGUAGAAGCACAUGAAAAACUGCGUAACCCACUGCUGGUUGAGAUAGACGGGGCAGAAAGGUUGCCUUUCUGGGUCGUAGGCGCUUUGCUGGAGCUUUGCUGUACUUUUAUGCGAAACGACAGCGGAUUUAGAAGACCUGCCGAGAACAAAUCGCAGUAUGAUGCUGGCUUUACCAGAAUGCUUUUGCACAAAGAUCAGGCUGUGCCAGCUGUUCUGGACACAACAACCACGCCACAAACUGUAAGUAACGUAUUUCAUGUAAAAACUAUUUUUAAAACGGUAACGAUGGUAAUGGAUAUUAGUCAAUCAUAA